AAAUACAGAUGUGAAAUGUGAAGAUAUUUAAUUCAUAAAUAUAUAUUGUAAAUGCAAGUUUUGAGCAGUCUAAAAAUAUUAGAGGCUAAAGAAAGGAAGAUAUAAUUACAUGCGGCAGAGCUGAAAUAUCCACUGCAUAAGGAAGCGAAGCGAAUGGGUCUGGAAGUGAAUGAGGACAAAACGAAAUAUCUCCUGCCAUCAAACAAAGAGUCAGCGAACUCGCGUCUCGGCUCCCACAUCACUGUUGAGUCAUAACUUUUAAGUCGUAGAUAAUUUCGUAUAUCUGGGAACAAGCAUCAACAACACCCACAAUGUCAGCCUCGAAACCCAGCGCACCAUCACUCUUACCAACAGGUGCUACUCGUACUGACGUAUGGCGCAGAAACGUGGAAGAGUUUUCGAGAGGAAACCUUUGCGCAAGAUUUAUGGAGUUAUAAGUCGACAUUGACGAUAGUUGAUUGAAAAUAGUUGUAAUCGAUCCAGGAAUUACCUAAGAAUAGUUUCAUUAUUUUAGUGGACUUUAUGCCGAAUAUAUGGGUCAGAGUACCAUUAAAUAAAUAAAUUGCGGAACAAAUAUUCAGUACGGAUUAUGCCAUCUGGGUUUCUUAUUUUUGUAACGCAGCGGUCUCACAAGCGGACUUGUUCAAUGAUUCCGGAAUUUAAAAUUUCUGAAUUUUUCGUUAGACUAUUUU